UACGGAGGGUGCAAGCGUUAAUCGGAAUCACUGGGCGUAAAGCGCACGUAGGCGGUGCCGUAAGUCGGAUGUGAAAGCCCUCGGCUCAACCGGGGAACUGCAUUCGAUACUGCGGUGCUUGAGUGUCGGAGAGGGUGGCGGAAUUCCAGGUGUAGGAGUGAAAUCCGUAGAUAUCUGGAGGAACACCAGUGGCGAAGGCGGCCACCUGGCCGACAACUGACGCUGAGGUGCGAAAGCGUGGGGAUCAAACAGG
rnacentral:rRNA from 1 species